rnacentral:rRNA from 1 species
CGAAUCACAAAACUCGGUCUCAGUUCAGAUUGCAGGCUGCAGCUCGCCUGCAUGAAGUUGGAAUUGCUAGUAAUCGCGAAUCAGAAUGUCGCGGUGAAUACGUUCCCGGGCCUUGUACACACCGCCCGUCACACCAUGAGAGUCGAUAACACCCGAAGCCUGUGAGCUAACCUUUUAGGAGGCAGCAGUCGAAGGUGGGGUUGAUGAUUGGGGUGAAGUCGUAACAAGGUACC